rnacentral:lncRNA from 1 species
AUAGGCAGAGUCAAAAUCAGAGGUGUUUAUGGUACAGAAGGUAAAUCCUGACUUCAGGGUCGCUCUUAAAGAAAAUUAGGUCUUACGCUGCUCUUAACGGAAAAUCACCCCAUGAAACUCUGCCCUUUACGGCCUCUGAGACCCACAGUACCUUCUCAAAGUGGGGGGAUGGAGGAGAUUGCAGGGCUUCUGGUUGGGCAGUCAUUGUGACUUCUCCAUUAACUCUAUAAUGAGUUGGUUCUAAAUUCUGCCACUAGGAAGCCCAGUAGCACCGUCAGCCUCUGUAUCAGCGUUGCCAUGAGCACCCCCUUCGAGAAAUCUGAACUUGCCAAGCAUUGAUUUUUUCUUUUUAACUGUAGAGAGCCGACGCAGGAAGACGAGAUUCCCAAGGUGCCUCUCUGUGACCUGUCAUCCCAGCCUCAGUCUGCAGAACCUUCCAGCAACAGAGACAUCUUCCUCAGCUCUGCACUCAGCGAGGGGAGCGACCGGGGAGCCACCACCCCAGCCCAGGCACCCAAGAUUUACGAAGGGCCCUGCCUUCCAUUAGGCAGCGGGAAGGGGCUGGGCGUCUCUGCUCAGCUUUAGAAGUCCAUUUGUUUCCAUUCCUUGUCAGCAGUUUGCAUAAGUGAGUGGUUUUAUUUCUUGGGAGCGAGGAGGAAAAAACGCACGAGUUACCCCAGCAGUGGGAGAUUUGUCAAAUAAAGCUUUUAA